rnacentral:rRNA from 1 species
GGGGGAAUUUUGGACAAUGGGCGCAAGCCUGAUCCAGCCAUGCCGCGUGCGGGAAGAAGGCCUUCGGGUUGUAAACCGCUUUCGGACAGAAAGAAAUCGCAUGGACUAAUACUCUGUGUGGAUGACGGUACUGUAAGAAGAAGCACCGGCUAACUACGUGCCAGCAGCCGCGGUAAUACGUAGGGUGCGAGCGUUAAUCGGAAUUACUGGGCGUAAAGCGUGCGCAGGCGGAUAUUUAAGUCAGACGUGA